GUGGGGAAUAUUGGACAAUGGGCGAAAGCCUGAUCCAGCCAUGCCGCGUGUGUGAAGAAGGUCUUCGGAUUGUAAAGCACUUUAAGUUGGGAGGAAGGGCAGUAAGUUAAUACCUUGCUGUUUUGACGUUACCGACAGAAUAAGCACCGGCUAACUUCGUGCCAGCAGCCGCGGUAAUACGAAGGGUGCAAGCGUUAAUCGGAAUUACUGGGCGUAAAGCGCGCGUAGGUGGUUUUGUAAGUUGGUGGUGAAAUCCCCGGGCUCAACCUGGGAACUGCCUCCAAAACUGCAUGACUAGAGUACGGUAGAGGUGAGUGGAAUUUCCUGUGUAGCGGGGAAAUGCGUAGAUAUAGGAAGGAACACCAGUGGCGAAGGCGACUACCUGGACUGAUACUGACACUGAGGUGCGAAAGCGUGGGGAGCAAACAGGAUUAGAAACCCGAGUAGUCC
rnacentral:rRNA from 1 species